GUCGGUCGCGUCGCAGUGGCGUGACCGGGAAAGCAGCAAUGCACCGAAGGAGGACCUCGCGGCCUAUCAGCUUGUUGGCGGGGUAAAUGGCCCACCAAGGCGACGACGGGUAGCUGGUCUGAGAGGAUGAUCAGCCACAUUGGGACUGAGACACGGCCCAG
rnacentral:rRNA from 1 species